rnacentral:rRNA from 1 species
AAUCAACGCUGGCGGCGUGCCUAACACAUGCAAGUCGAACGCGAAAGCCCGCAAGGGUAAGUAGAGUGGCGCACGGGUGAGUAACACGUGGACAACCUGCCUUCGAGUGGGGAAUAACCUUCCGAAAGGAGGGCUAAUACCGCAUAACACCUCGGGACACAAGUUCUGGGGUUGAAAAGAGCAAUUUGCUCGAAGAGGGGUCCGCGCCUGAUUAGCUAGUUGGUGAGGUAACGGCUCACCAAGGCUUCGAUCAGUAGCCGUCCUGAGAGGGAGCACGGCCACACUGGAACUGAGACACGGUCCAGACUCCUACGGGAGGCAGCAGUGGGGAAUUUUUGGCAAUGGGCGAAAGCCUGACCAAGCAACGCCGCGUGGGUGAUGAAGUAUCUUGGUACGUAAAACCCUUUCGGCAGGGACGAACCUAAUGACGGUACCUGCGGAAGAAGCCCCGGCUAACUCCGUGCCAGCCGCCGCCGUAAU